UACGUAGGGUGCAAGCGUUAAUCGGAAUUACUGGGCGUAAAGCGUGCGCAGGCGGUUUUGUAAGUCUGUCGUGAAAUCCCCGGGCUCAACCUGGGAAUUGCGAUGGAGACUGCAAGGCUAGAAUCUGGCAGAGGGGGGUAGAAUUCCACGUGUAGCAGUGAAAUGCGUAGAGAUGUGGAGGAACACCGAUGGCGAAGGCAGCCUCCUGGGCCAACACUGACGC
rnacentral:rRNA from 1 species